GAUAAGCCGGAGAAAUCCGGUCUAAUACCCCGUACGUCCCAGCGAUUGCGGUCGUUGGUAGAAAGGUUGCUGCCUUCGGGUAGUUGCCGCUCCGGGAGGGGCUUGCGGCCUAUCAGGUAGUUGGUGGGGUAAAAGCCUACCAAGCCGUAGGCGGGUAACCGGUGUGAGAGCAUGAUCGGUCAGAGGGGGACUGAGACACGGCCCCCACUCCUACGGGAGGCAGCAGCAGGGAAUCUUGCGCAAUGGGCGAAAGCCUGACGCAGCGACACCGCGUGGGGGAUGAAGGCCCUAGGGUUGUAAACCCCUUUUCUCGGGGAAGAGGACGGACGGUACCCGAGGAAUAAGGAUCGGCUAACUACGUGCCAGCAGCCGCGGUAAUACGUAGGAUCCGAGCGUUGUCCGGAUU
rnacentral:rRNA from 1 species